rnacentral:rRNA from 1 species
UACGAAGGUGGCAAGCGUUACUCGGAAUUACUAGGCGUAAAGGGCAGGUAGGUGGUUUGGUAAGUCUGUUGUGAAAGCUCCCGGCUUAACUGGGAGAGGUCAACGGAUACUGCCAAACUUGAGUAUAGGAGAGGUUACUGGAAUUCCCGGUGUAGCGGUGAAAUGCGCAGAGAUCGGGAGGAACACCAAUGGCGAAAGCAGGUAACUGGACUAUUACUGACACUCAGCUGCGAAAGCUAGGGGAGCAAACAGG